CUGAUGUUACUUGUAAUCAUAAUUUGGUUCAGACCAGAAAUUAAAUAAGAAUUCGAGUUGUUAAUGGAAAUGUGCAUCUAGAUAUUACUUGCCUAUAACAUUGGACUUGCUCUUGUACAGACAUUGUGCCGAAUGUUUAUCAUCAAUGCUGGCCCUGGUUUUAGGCUGCUGUGGAGCCAAGUGAAGUCUUUUAUCGAUACAAAAACCACCUCAAAGAUUCAUGGUUCUCAGAGUCUGAUGAAUAUGUUCCCAUGGUAACCAAAACUGUAGAUUCAAGUUGGAAGAAGUGUCCCAUCAAAAGCUCCCGUCUCCUAGAAGUAUGCAAGUAUUAUUAGAUUUCAUUAGGGAGUUGCAGGCUUUUGCGAGUCAAUGGUUAUAUGUUGUUAUAUGAGGUAUCAUAUUUAGUGGAUUCCAUUUAUGUGCAUGUAUUUGUUAUAUGAGGUAUCAUAUAAUGCUUUGGCAGAGGGGAGUUUUUAUUUUCAAUAUGAUUGAACUUUUGUUUGAUGAA